rnacentral:rRNA from 1 species
GAUGAACGCUGGCGGCGUGCCUAACACAUGCAAGUCGAGCGAUCUUCUUCGGAAGAGAGCGGCGGACGGGUGAGUAACGCGUGGGUAACCUGCCCUGUACACACGGAUAACAUACCGAAAGGUAUGCUAGUACGAGAUAAUAUACCUUUAUCGCAUGGUAGAAGUAUCAAAGCUCCGGGGGUACAAGAUGGACCCGAGUCUGAUUAGCUAGUUGGUAAGGUAACGGCGUACCAAGGCGACGAUCGGUAGCCGACCUGAGAGGGUGGUCGGCAACAUUGGAACUGAGACACGGUCCAAACUCCUACGGGAGGCAGCAGUGGGGAAUAUUGCACAAUGGGCGAAAGCCUGAUGCAGCAACGCCGCGUGAGCGAUGAAGGCCUUCGGGUCGUAAAGCUCUGUCCUCAAGGAAGAUAAUGACGGUACUUGAGGAGGAAGCCCCGGCUAACUACGUGCCAGCCGCCGCAGUAA